CCAGGUACUUUACCAAAUUGGUCUUCAAGUGACUCGUAACGUCGCUGCUACUCGUAGAAUUACAUACAAAUAGACAAGAAGUACAUAAAAAUAAUAGUAUACCAAACAUGAGAACAAACAACGUAAGAAUAUCCUACGCGCUGCUAUGAGAUCGUAGGUUCGAGAACCACUAGAAUCGGAGUUACGGUUAAAGAGUUAUGAUUUUCUAAAGAUUUAGGCAUAAAACAAUUUAAGUGCAUGAUUUUAACCAAUUGUGUCAUAGCAAAAUAAAGUUACUGCAUGAUAAACAAUAUCAAUACGAAUUUAAUGUCACUGAAAUGGAUUAAUUUGGGUUUAAAACAAAGAAGCCAUGCCUUUAUGAAUGUUUAGGAUUUAAUUUCUAUAUUAAAAAUCCAUUUUCUGGUUCAUUUUAGUAAACAUGAGUUCUAUUUGGACUUCAGGCAUAAAUUCCAGAGAGGACAGGGUCUAAAGCGUAAAACCUACGACUUGGAUGUAAGGAUAUUAUCACAUCAGUGGACGGCGGGUUGUUUUCUAGAAUCCGGAUGGGGCCUUUUGCAAAACGGACAACCGAAGGGGUAUGCAUGCUUUCUAGCCACUCGAUUUCAGUCCGAGGGUUCGGAUUAGAUCCUGGUCCUACGAAUCAGCACAAUGCCAAGGGCCCUCCGAGUUAAAACUAACACCCUAUAUUUAAAGUGCUUAGAGCAACUCCAGCAGUUCUCUAAAAGACUUCCUAAAUCAAUAAUUUAGGUAGCUAAUAUAAAAACUCAUCUCCAACAGUUCUCUAAAUGAACUUUCUAAAUUUAGCAACUCAUCGUCUUACCUCAUUUCAUCUCUACAUUUGACAACCAUUUAGCAACUCCCUAAACAAAAUGUUGACUGCAUUAUAUAGUUAAUGAAGGUAAUUGAUAACAUUUAUGACUUGUUUUUUAUGUGGAUAGAUACAAAACAAAAUUACAACCUAUAUUUAGAGAACUACUAGAUAACUCACAUUUUUUUACUUCCAAAGUUGUUUAACAACUUCUUAAAUAUGUGAUUUAGAGAGCUAAAAUUUACAUAACUAUUGGAGUUGCUCUUAGAGCUUCUCCAAGAGAUCCCAAAAAUAAAUCUUCCAAUACAAGGGAAUUAGGAUCUCCCUAAAUCUCUUAAUUCCACUCCAUGGGUACCAUCCCCAACAGCUCCCAAGAUUUUUAAAAAAUCUAAAUGCAUAGGUCCACCUACGAAUUAAAUGUACAUAUAAACAGCUUCAUCUGGCAGAGUGCUCCACCUACAAAUUUUGUUUCAAGAUUACUGGAGACGCAUGAAGGUCAAACCUUGCUUCCAAUGAUCAAAUCAUCAUGAGUCGUUGGACAUUAACAGAUCAAAGCAUAUCGUGUCUGAAUAAGAACAAGGUGCAUGGGGACGGGUGAAGAUGCGAGAGCCAGGCUUCCGACACAGGAGGACCUUCAUAUUGAAGGCGAUAGAGCAUAGCGCCAUGGGAUGAUCUCUCGACGUGGAUAGAGACGGUGAGCCAGCGAGCAUAUUGAAGGCGAGAGAGAGAGAGAGAGAGAGCGGCACAACAUUCUGUCGCGCGAAUUCAAAUGAACGCUGCAACCGGACUGGCACGAAUCGGUGGAAGUAAGGCGGGACGGUGUACAACCUUGAUUGGGAGCUCCAGAGGCGGCGAAGGUUUGCGCCGUGGAGAGGGAUUUUUUCGCAUGCGGUAUUUUACGGAUACCACAUAGAAAACUGUUGGAGACAAUUUUUUCUUUUUUUUCCUAGAAUAAGGAUUGGACAGAGGGUUUUAAGGAUCUCUUGGAGAUGAUCUUAGAUCGAAUCUCACACGAACUCCUACUUGAACCAGAACGAAGUGCUGACCAUCGGAUCUAAGUUUGAUGGUCGAAUUUUAAUAAACAGAGUUCUAAUGUACCCCAUUUGAUCCGUGAUCAACGGUCCAGGAUCUACUCCGAAGCGGUACGCCUCGGUUCUAAUCUGGACCGUCUGCUUACAUAUCGACGGCCACGACGCGCAGCCUCAUCAUCCUGGCUUGCCCUGGCGGCGCCAUCCCCGGCGACAAGUAAAUCGGCCACCCCGGCAUACAACUUCACUCACACAAUCGCUACUCGAAGAGGAAGGUCGGGCGAACGACAUGGUUGGCUUCUUACCGGCUGUAGAGCAGUAGCAGACCUUGACCACGAAACGAAGCGGCUCCACGGCGAUGAUGUACUCUGGCGACGAAUUCCCAAUCACUCACUGAUCCUCUAUGCUACCGAUCUCCACCAAUGGAUCUGUGAUGGUCCAGCGAUUCCCGAGAGCUACCAAUCGAGGCUCCAGUGAUGCCUUUCCGCGAGGAUGUGGCCGGCGGCGGUCAGGGUCCCUCUUUUGUGCGAGCUCACGAUUCGUGGUGCUCGCCCGACAUGAAGAUGGCUAGGGGUGCGGGGCUCGGUAUUUAUUCGUCGGGCUGAGGGGUUCGCAGAGUCCAGUAGCGGAAACUCCGCUCGAUCUCAACAACCCAGAGCAGUGGUCGCGGUGAUCGGAG
rnacentral:lncRNA from 1 species